UCCGGUGGCAAUACCGGAGGGGCCACACCCGUUCCCAUUCCGAACACGGAAGUUAAGCCCUCCUGGGCCGAUGAUACUGCACCCGCGAGGGUGUGGGAAAGUAGGACGCUGCCGGAU
rnacentral:rRNA from 1 species